rnacentral:rRNA from 1 species
UACGGGGGGUGCAAGCGUUGUUCGGAAUUACUGGGCGUAAAGGGCUCGUAGGCGGCCAACUAAGUCAGACGUGAAAUCCCCAGGCUCAACCUGGGAACUGCGUCUGAUACUGGAUGGCUUGAAUCCGGGAGAGGGAUGCAGAAUUCCAGGUGUAGCGGUGAAAUGCGUAGAUAUCUGGAGGAAUACCGGUGGCGAAGGCGGCAUCCUGGACCGGCAUUGACGCUGAGGAGCGAAAGCCAGGGGAGCAAACGGG